CCACUCCCCAGCCCCACCCCACCCCCACUGUCUUUGGACUAGCGGAAACCCGGCUAGGAAAAGAAGGGUUCGCUGGUUCUGGCUGCAUGAGAAGCAGCAGCAGCUGCCUGCACUGGGUCCCCGGUCCAGGCCAGGCAGGGCAUGCGGGAAGAAGGCUCUGGCGAUCAGACCAGGAAGAAUCUGGUCAAAGCCUUGGACCUCCACCCUAAAAAAAUACAUAUGUUCAUAACAGUUUAUUUAUAACUUUAAGAGGUCCCAGGACCCCAAAUCCAGGCUCAGAACACUCAUAUAAAGCAGAAGGAUUUUGAAGGUCAGUGAAGACUGGUUCCUCAAGAGCCUUGUCUUCUCACACUCACUCCGGCAGCAGUAACACCCCUCUACAAGAAGGGACGAUUUCCGCCAAGCACAGUGUACACCCGUUUCAUAGAUUUAACCUCACCUCUGGCCAGGUUCUCGAUAUCCUUCUCCACUAGUUGAGUUCCUGUGACAUCUAGGGUGAGCCCAUCUUCGCCUGGGAUACAAGGGCAGGCAAUAAACCGAGUUUCAAGGAGAGGCAAAGAAACCGUGACCCGGAUACGGCCAGAGCUGCCGCGGUCGGGGCGCCGGAGCCCUAAUUAAAAGCGUCGUGGCCGCCGCUGGUUCCCGGCUGUGCGCCUGGGCUCGCACCCUCAGGCUUUGGGCCGGGCACCACCUCCCCCGCGCGCGAUCUGCUCAUCUCCGGCUCCUCGCCCCCUCCCCAGCCCCUUGGAAAAGAGCAAAACGAGCAGCCGAGCCCACCAGGGACAAGCGACCUACAUCGCGCGCAGAUACUGGGGCACCGCGAGCGCGCGUGGCCGCCGGGUCUACCUGCUCCGAGAACGCGGCCCAGGAGGCGACACGCGGGGUGGCGACAGCGGGGGAAACAUCGUACCGGGCUCAGGCUGCCCGGAUUUCCGAGGCCCUCAGUUCAUUCUCUGAGAGUCAAUGGGUCCCGCUCGCACCUCCGCGUUGGGCUGCUGCUACCGCGCACUUCAGGGGUCCCUAUGCGCGUGGCCAAGCGCCCCCACCUUCCUCCCGGACCUCUCGACCCAAACACUUGCUGAAUAAAUGAGAGAAUUUGAAA